GAAGGAUCCUCACAAAUCGGAAAGAGCUUGAAACUUUGCUCCUCUUUUCUGGGUGGUAGGGACGGUCAGAGUGCCAUGCUUCUAGAAGGCCUCAUUGGCUCGAGCAUACUUCUCAACCCAAUCUAGCAUUUCUAUGAAGUCCUUCGGAUACUUCUUCUCUAAUGAGUAAAGAAGAAAAUUUUGUUGGAGUCUGCCUUUAAAGGCGGUCAUAGUGACUGACUGGUCUAGGUCACA
rnacentral:lncRNA from 1 species